AACGAACGCUGGCGGCAGGCUUAACACAUGCAAGUCGAACGCAUCCUUCGGGGUGAGUGGCAGACGGGUGAGUAACGCGUGGGAACGUGCCCUUCAGUUCGGGAUAACCCAGGGAAUCUUGGGCUAAUACCGGAUACGUGCGAGAGCAGAAAGAUUUAUCGCUGAAGGAUCGGCCCGCGUCUGAUUAGCUAGUUGGUGGGGUAAUGGCCCACCAAGGCGACGAUCAGUAGCUGGUCUGAGAGGAUGAUCAGGCACAUUGGGACUGAGACGCGGCCCAAACUCCUACGGUAGGCAGCAGUGGGGAAUAUUGGACAAUGGGCGCAAGCCUGAUCCAGCCAUGCCGCGUGAGUGAUGAAGGCCUUAGGGUUGUAAAGCUCUUUCGUCCGGGACGAUAAUGACGGUACCGGAAGAAGAAGCCCCGGCUAACUUCGUGCCAGCCGCCGCAGUAA
rnacentral:rRNA from 1 species